AGAAACUUACCAGAGAUGAGAAACAACCAAUUGUCUGCAUUCUCUGUUAUGUGGUUGAAGAAAGAAUAGUGUUUUGAGAGUAGCUACUUUGAACUAGCUACUUGCUAUUAUUUUAUGAGAAUAGGGCUUAUGGCCUACACCAUCAUCAUGAGUGCCCCAUCAGAUGUCCCUGAUGGAAAUUGUUGACUCUUGAGACACAACACAGCUGUAGACAGCAUGCCUUUGGACCAGAAAAUAUUUGAGGACCUCUAGCCACUCUGGGGAAUGUGGUCUACUUCACAGUGUACAUGACUCAGGUUUCAUCAAGCCGACACAGAAAAUUCACCAUGACAGAAGGCUGCCUGGAGGAAUGCAUCAGGGAGAGCGGCUUAGAGGCUAGCAUGGUACGUGGAUCACUUUGAGACUCCAACUACAUAUUAAACAUCUCCCACAAUCCAGAGCAUGCCAACCUCUAUU
rnacentral:lncRNA from 1 species